CACUCUAAAAACGGCUGGGCUAUUUUUUAACCCAAAAUGCUGGGCUGAGUCUGUUGGGUCAUUUUGUUGGGUUAUUUUAUUUCUUUUUAAACACUUUUGGGUAGUUUCAAUUUACCAGGUGUUGGGUUAAACCUGCUGGGUUGCGUCGCUGGGUUGUUUGAAGCCAGCGCUGGGUUAUUUAACGCGCCUUGAAGCUGUUUAAAUCGCUCCCCAACUGUCACUUUGGAAGAACAACGGGGCAAAGCCACGACUUUCAACUGUUUUAAGAAAAGCACAUGGAUACAUUUGUGAGAGACAAACUCGUCGAGUGCAGUCUUAUUGAGGCGUCUAAAGGUUGGAACAAACAUGGAAUUGCUUAACCGAGCAGAGUCCACAAAACCCCACCCAAUUGUCGUGGCGAUUUAAAAAUGCCAGCAGAUCUCUCAGGCAUUGAUCAUAAUCAAUGGACAGGUAAGGAUAUUCUGGACAAUUUUCAAAAGGAAAUGCAGAUUGUAUAUUUAAUUGCAUUUUUCUACAUGUGGACGCAUAUAUUGUGACAUAGUCCAAAUGCAAUUGAAAAGCAUUUGAAUUUCAGAUGCCUUGCACAUAAAGAUGUCAAUUUGUGUCAAGGGUGGGACUAUACUAUGGGGCGUGUUUGUAUUGGGAGAUAUUUUGUAGUUUUUACCCCAAAUCUCUCACUGUUUGCACUCUGAUGCACGUCAGCAAAACAACAUUGCAGUUCUACUCUUAUUUACCUAUUUGCAUCUUACCCUAUAUUUUAUUCCUCAGGUGAAAAGCAUUUGGUUAAUGGUGAAUAUUGACUAAUAGUACCAUGGGGCUCUAACUGUUAGCAGGGGAUAGUAGCUGCAUUUGGAGUAAAAAUGACAGAAUUAUUUAUGGUGUAAGGUGCCAAGAAUAUAGGGAGAUCUGGGUUGCACUGUCUGUUCUUUAACAUGCAUCUCUCGGAGUGGCAGCUUCCUUUAGUAGUGCCUUAACCUCCAUUGUUCAAAGCAUUUGGCAAAAUUGUCUUUGAGUGACAUCACCUCCCAAUACAAACACUCUCCAUAGUAUGGUCCCACCUCUAACAAAAAUUUGACCGCUUUCAAUGUGAGGCAUUGGAAAUUCAGAUGCUAAAGUAAUUGCAAUUCCAUUUGAGUUUUGGCAGGU